AUUGAACGCUGGCGGCAUGCCUUACACAUGCAAGUCGAACGGCAGCACGGGUGCUUGCACCUGGUGGCGAGUGGCGAACGGGUGAGUAAUACAUCGGAACGUACCUUAUCGUGGGGGAUAACGCAGCGAAAGCUGUGCUAAUACCGCAUACGCCCUGAGGGGGAAAGCGGGGGAUCGCAAGACCUCGCGCGAUUAGAGCGGCCGAUGCCUGAUUAGCUUGUUGGGGGGGUAAAAGCCCACCAAGGCGACGAUCAGUAGCUGGUCUGAGAGGACGAUCAGCCACACUGGGACUGAGACACGGCCCAGACUCCUACGGGAGGCGGCAGUGGGGAAUUUUGGACAAUGGGGGCAACCCUGAUCCAGCAAUGCCGCGUGAGUGAAGAAGGCCUUCGGGUUGUAAAGCUCUUUUGUCAGGGAAGAAACACCGGCUCUAACACAGUCCGGGAAUGACGGUACCUGAAGAAUAAGCACCGGCUAACUACGUGCCAGCCGCCGCGGUAACAC
rnacentral:rRNA from 1 species